GAGUUUGAUCGUGGCUCAGAUUGAACGCUGGCGGCAGGCCUAACACAUGCAAGUCGAACGGUAACAGGAAGCAGCUUGCUGCUUCGCUGACGAGUGGCGGACGGGUGAGUAAUGUCUGGGAAGCUGCCUGAUGGAGGGGGAUAACUACUGGAAACGGUAGCUAAUACCGCAUAAUGUCGCAAGACCAAAGAGGGGGACCUUCGGGCCUCUUGCCAUCGGAUGUGCCCAGAUGGGAUUAGCUUGUUGGUGGGGUAACGGCGUCACCAAGGCGACGAUCCCUAGCUGGUCUGAGAGGAUGACCAGCCACACUGGAACUGAGACACGGGUCCAGACUCCUACGGGAGGCAGCAGUGGGGAAUAUUGCACAAUGGGCGCAAGCCUGAUGCAGCCAUGCCGCGUGUAUGAAGAAGGCC
rnacentral:rRNA from 1 species